UAUGGAGCCAUUGGGUGCGGUCACUAUAGCAACCAGGCUCACACCUGCCUGCUUAACGAGCUCUGCCUGCCACUCUGCCAAGAUUCAUCUUAAGCACUUCUCUUUCAACUGCUGCUGUGUCCACAGUGUUAAAGCCAUCAUUUUACCCUCAAAUUGUCGCCAUUAUUGUUCUCUUUCCAACACCGUAUCUUUCAAAGCUCAGGCAUUUAAACUUUUUAAACUGUGUGGAUCAAAGUGGAGGGAUCACAUUUGAGUCAUUCAGUGAUUCAAAGAAUAUGAUCUUUUAAUAUUCAUUCAGAUGUUUUCUGACUCUAAAUGUUCUUUUCUCAUUUCUUAGGGUUUUCUAAUUUACAAUUAAAACAUUUUCAGUUUUUUUCCAACUCCUUCUUCUGUGUAACCUUCAGCUUUUAGCAGUUCAGCACCUUUGUUUUCAGGUUAAAUUCGUUUUUUUUUUUGUUUUUUUUUUAAUCUCAUUCAAUAUUUUUAACUCAAAAUUCAGCAAUUAAUUCAUUUCAGUGCAUACAUUCAGAUUCAAGCAUUCACACUGCAGUUUCUUCAGAAAAUGCACUUUCUAGUUAUUAUUGUGUGGAUGCUUUAAGCAUCCACACUAUUGAGUUCCUGUUUCUCUUUAUUUUUUAUUAUUAUUAUUCUAGUUGCUUCCGUACACUUUUUGGCACUUAACUACUUCCACAAUUUUCAGCCGAUUUUCACCGUUCAAAUUUUAAACUAUUCUGCUAUUUCUGCUAAUUUCCGCUAUGAUUUUUGCUAUUUUUAACUAUUAUACUUUUUAAAAUAUUAAGCUUUUUUCCUUUAAUUUGUCCCAUUGAAAUGAAUGGGAAACUUCUGCAAUUCUGCUAAAAUUUGCUUGUUUUUGAAACUUAACUACUUCCUCAUAUUUUCACCUAGAACAACCAUUCAAACUUUAAAAUGUUCACAAAUUAUUGGGCUAUUCAGGUAUGAUUCAGCUUUUUCAAAUCUUUUACUGUUUUACUUUUAUGCCUCUUAAAGUUUUGAGUUGCAAAAUUGUGAUUUUUCACAAAAUACAUGCGUUGUUAUGGUUGCUAUGCUCUUGGCUUCCAGUGUGCCACUGAAGGUUUUGCAAUUUUCACUUCAUGUCCGAACAACUUCUUGCUACUUGCUCAAUUUUCACUCAACUUCCACAAAUUAUACAUCAAAAC
ensembl:lncRNA